rnacentral:rRNA from 1 species
UGGGGAAUAUUGCACAAUGGGCGAAAGCCUGAUGCAGCAACGCCGCGUGAGUGAUGAAGGUCUUCGGAUUGUAAAGCUCUGUCUUUUGGGACGAUAAUGACGGUACCAAAGGAGGAAGCCACGGCUAACUACGUGCCAGCAGCCGCGGUAAUACGUAGGUGGCGAGCGUUGUCCGGAUUUACUGGGCGUAAAGGGUGCGUAGGCGGAUGUUUAAGUGAGAUGUGAAAUACCCGGGCUUAACUUGGGUGCUGCAUUUCAAACUGGAUAUCUAGAGUGCAGGAGAGGAGAAUGGAAUUCCUAGUGUAGCGGUGAAAUGCGUAGAGAUUAGGAAGAACACCAGUGGCGAAGGCGAUUCUCUGGACUGUAACUGACGCUGAGGCACGAAAGCGUGGGUAGCAAACAGGAUUAGAUACCCUGGUAGUCCACGCCGUAAACGAUGAGUACUAGGUGUAGGAGGUAUCGACCCCUUCUGUGCCGCAGUAAACACAUUAAGUACUCCGCCUG